rnacentral:tRNA from 1 species
GUGAGUAUAGCUCAGAGGUAGAGCGCAUGCUUAGCAUGUACCAGGUCCUGGGUUCGAUCCCCAGUACCUCCU